rnacentral:rRNA from 1 species
AGUGGGGAAUAUGCACAAUGGGCGCAAGCCUGAUGCAGCGACGCGCGUGAGGGAUGAAGGCCUUCGGGUUGUAAACCUCUUUCAGCAGGGAAGAAGCGCAAGUGACGGUACCUGCAGAAGAAGCGCCGGCUAACUACGUGCCAGCAGCCGCGGUAAUACGUAGGGCGCAAGCGUUGUCCGGAAUUAUUGGGCGUAAAGAGCUCGUAGGCGGUUUGUCGCGUCUGCUGUGAAAACUCGAGGCUCAACCUCGGGCUUGCAGUGGGUACGGGCAGACUAGAGUGCGGUAGGGGAGACUGGAAUUCCUGGUGUAGCGGUGGAAUGCGCAGAUAUCAGGAGGAACACCGAUGGCGAAGGCAGGUCUCUGGGCCGCAACUGACGCUGAGGAGCGAAAGCAUGGGGAGCGAACAGGAUUAGAUACCCUGGUAGUCCAUGCCGUAAACGUUGGGCACUAGGUGUGGGGCUCAUUCCACGAGUUCCGUGCCGCAGCAAACGCAUUAAGUGCCCCGCCUGGGGAGUACGGCCGCAAGGCUAAAACUCAAAGAAAUUGACGGGGGCCCGCACAAGCGGCGGAGCAUGCGGAUUAAUUCGAUGCAACGCGAAGAACCUUACCAAGGCUUGACAUACACCGGAAACUUCCAGAGAUGGUUGCCCCGCAAGGUCGGUGUACAGGUGGUGCAUGGUUGUCGUCAGCUCGUGUCGUGAGAUGUUGGGUUAAGUCCCGCAACGAGCGCAACCCUCGUCCUAUGUUGCCAGCGGGUCAUGCCGGGGACUCAUAGGAGACUGCCGGGGUCAACUCGGAGGAAGG